rnacentral:rRNA from 1 species
AAUCAACGCUGGCGGCGUGCCUCAGACAUGCAAGUCGAACGAUUAAAGCUCCCUUCGGGGAGUGCAUAAAGUGGCGCACGGGUGAGUAACACGUAAGUAAUCUACCCUCGGGUGGGGAAUAACAUCGGGAAACCGAUGCUAAUACCGCAUAAUGCAGCGGCACCGCAAGGUGACAGUUGUUAAAGAUUUAUUGCCUGGGGAGGAGCUUGCGGCAGAUUAGCUAGUGGUAAGGUAACGGCUUACCAAGGCUACGAUCUGUAUCCGGUCUAAGAGGACGGUCGGACACACUGACACUGAAUAACGGGUCAGACUCCUACGGGAGGCAGCAGUCGGGAAUUUUGGGCAAUGGGGGAAACCCUGACCCAGCAACGCCGCGUGAAGGAUGAAGUAUUUCGGUAUGUAAACUUCGAAAGAAUAGGAAGAAUUAAUGACGGUACUAUUUAUAAGGUCCGGCUAACUACGUGCCAGCAGCCGCCGCGGUAAC